rnacentral:rRNA from 1 species
GAUGAACGCUAGCGGCAGGCUUAAUACAUGCAAGUCGAGGGGCAGCAGGACGGUAGCAAUACCGUUGCUGGCGACCGGCAAACGGGUGCGGAACACGUACGCAACCUACCCCAAGCUGGGGGAUAGCCCGGGGAAACCCGGAUUAAUACCCCGUAACAUAAUAGAAAGGCAUCUUUUUAUUAUUAUAGCUUUUAGUUGGUUUGGGAUGGGCGUGCGGCUGAUUAGGUAGUUGGUUGGGGUAACGGCCCACCAAGCCAAUGAUCAGUAACUGGUGUGAGAGCACGACCAGUCACACGGGCACUGAGACACGGGCCCGACUCCUACGGGAGGCAGCAGUAAGGAAUAUUGGUCAAUGGACGCAAGUCUGAACCAGCCAUGCCGCGUGGAGGAUGAAGGUCCU